AAAGCAUGAUGUGGACAGCUCCUUUGCAAAUCCUUAAGCCAUUCCUAAUAAUCAUACAAGGUUUCAUUCUACUGCUGAAUAAAUCAUGCUAUAUCAUUCCUCAACUU
rnacentral:snoRNA from 1 species